rnacentral:lncRNA from 1 species
CUUUAAUACAGCUGAAUUAAAUGAUAAUUCAGUUAUUCAAUUAUAUGAAAGGAGCAGAAAUGUGUUGUAUGUGCUUGGAAUAGGAUUCUGUGUUCAUCCACUGAAGCAUGAAGUUCCUUGAUGUUUGUGAGAUGCAUGGAUACACAUCAACACUGCAAGGUAUGGGGACAAUGUAAGGGAAAUAUUUGGACAACCAGUGUCCAGUGAUGUAUACAUGUAGAUGGGUAUCUGUCUGGGGUUCUCGGAGCACUACCACUAGAAUGGCGAUCUUCACCGCUGCACAGCUGCAUUAAAAGACAAAUGCUACUCUGAAAUUUACAGAAAAAACCCAACAAAAUGCUGAGCAAAUAAUUAAGGCCUUUUCUUACUUGCUUUCCUGUACAUUUGCCAGUACACCAGUAAAGAGGAGAAUUGCUUGUGAGAAUGCAAGUUGAGCCUCUGAGCUAUGUGGUUAAGUACUCCAGUAAAAUACUCAUUUACUAAGAGGUAAAUUGUUAGUACUCUAGUAAAAUACAGCUUUAGAAACAGGCAAAUUGUUAAUACUCUAGUAAAAUACCUAGUUUUAGAAGCGGGCAAAUUGUUAGCAGUCCAUUAAAAUACCCAGUUUUAGAAACAGGUAAACUUAGUACACACACACACACACACACAUUUUCAGAACCGCUUGUCCCAUACAGGGUCGCGGGGAACCGGAGCCCAACCCGGCAAAGCAGCGCGCAGGGCUGGAGGGGGAGGGGACACACCUAGGACGGAAUGCCAGUCCGUCGCAAGGCACCCCAAGUGGGGCGCAAACCCCAGACCCACCGGAGAAUAAGACCUGGGCCAACCCACUGCGCCACUGCAGCCCCCUGCACAAUUUUAGAAACAGAUCCACGAUACAAUACAGGUGCGCUUGACCUGUGGAUUUCACACCUCCGCUGUGUGCAGACUGGCCUGGCUCUGGGUCGGCCUUCCACCCACAAGAUUUUUGCCAUUACAUGUGUUUGUUUUGGCUUUCAGAGUGGAACAAGUGUCCAAGCCACUAUGCAAUAUGUAAUAUUUAUGUUUGGACACUAGUUCAGUUUGGAUAAAUUAUGUGAGCAAACAGAAAUUCUGGACAAAGAAACACUGAGAUGCAAACAACCUUUUUUAAUGAAAACAAUUGUAAAAUGUGCAGCACAGCCAGCUUUAAUUACUCUUUUGCCUUGAAUUCAUAAAUAAUCUCAAAAGUUUCUGAAAUUAUUUGCAUGUGACAAGGAAAAACCAAGAGUACGAGGUAAAAAACAGGUUUUUAAUACACACACACAUUUUCAGAACCGCUUGUCCCAUACGGGGUCACGGGGAACCGGAGCCAACCCGGCAACACAGGGCGUAAGGCCGGAGGGGGAGGGGACACACCCAGGACGGGACGCCAGUCCGUCGCAAGGCACCCCAAGCGGGACUCGAACCCCAGACCCACCGGAGAGCAGGACUGUGGUCCAACCCACUGCGCCACCGCACCCCCAAAUAGGUUUUUAAUAGUCAUCUAUUAUUUAUUAUCUAGGAGGGGUGCGGUGGCGCAGUGGGUUGGACCACAGUCCUGCUC